GUGGGGAAUAUUGGACAAUGGGGGAAACCCUGAUCCAGCGACGUCGCGUGGGUGAUGAAGGUCUUAGGAUUGUAAAACCCUUUUAUAAAAGAAGAUAAUGACUGUAUUUUAUGAAUAAGCCCCGGCUAACUACGUGCCAGCAGCCGCGGUAAUACGUAGGGGGCAAGCGUUAUCCGGAUUUACUGGGUGUAAAGGGAGCGUAGACGGAAUGGCAAGUCUGAAGUGAAAUCCUGCGGCUUAACUGCAGAAUUGCUUUGGAAACUGUCAAUCUGGAGUGUUGGAGAGGUAAGCGGAAUUCCUGGUGUAGCGGUGAAAUGCGUAGAUAUCACACAGAACACCGAUUGCGUAGGCAGCUUACUGGAACGCAACUGACGCUGAGGCACGAAAGCGUGGGGAUCGAACAGGAUUAGAAACCCGUGUAGUCC
rnacentral:rRNA from 1 species